rnacentral:rRNA from 1 species
UACGAAGGGGGCUAGCGUUGUUCGGAAUUACUGGGCGUAAAGCGUGCGCAGGCGGCUUCUCAAGUCAGGGGUGAAAGCCCAGAGCUCAACUCUGGAAUUGCCUUUGAGACUGAGUGGCUUGAGUACGAGAGAGGUGAGUGGAAUUCCCAGUGUAGAGGUGAAAUGCGUAGAUAUCCGGAGGAACACCGGUGGCGAAGGCGGCUUCCUGGACCGACACUGACGCUGAGGCGCGAAAGCUAGGGGAGCAAACGGG